UACCUCAUAAAAGGUAGUGAAAGUGUUCUGAACUCCUGUCUGAUUUCCGAGAGAUACAGAAAAGAGAGAGUGAGAGAGAGAGCAAGAGAAAAACCAUACCCUAGUUUGGGAGAGGGAGAGGGAGGGGAGGGGAAGGGUGGAAAGGGGUUUGGAAGAGGACUGUAGAGGGAAGAGCUAGAGGGAGGAAUUUAGUUACAAGAGAGUUAAGUUCUGUAAGAGACAUAGGGAAUUGUUAUAUAAAGAUAUCCUGUGAUUUGAACUCCACUUCCUGGCUGCCAUUGAGCCUCAAUAUCCACCAUCUAGAAGGAGGAUGAAGAAGCAUUGUGCCUUGUAAGGCACACCAAGGGGUAGGUGGUGGAGUACUGAGGUGGAAGUUCUAAUUAAAGUUCUGAAGAUCACCAAGAAAGAAAGCAUGGGCCAUAGCUCUUAAAGCCUGGAACAAGAAGCUGGGAAUUUUAGAUGCUCUUCUUGGAAGUUCCACUGCCCUGCUGUGUGACCUUCAGCAAUUUGUUCAGCCUCUGCAUGCCCAGCUGUGAAAUGGGGCCAAAAGAAUACUCACCUCUUUCAUAGAAAUCAAUGAUGCUUUAAUUCAUUCAUGUUUGCUAGUGUACUUUUAGUUACACUUCUUUUUAUUUUACUUUUUUGUUCCUCAGUUAGAUUAUGUGAAGGGCAAAGAAGGUUAAAAAUCAAUAAUGCCCAUAAGCCAUUUUAAGAUCAUUCUUCCGAAUGUGCCAUUCACUGCAAAAUAACACUGACAGUGUUGACGAGAGUUUAUCAUAAGACAGUAAUGCAUAAUGUUUUGGCCAGAUUACUUCCUGGAGGACUGAUUGGCUUAGUCAAAGAAGAAUAAGAUGGGAGCAGAAAUGGGAAGAGACAAACAAUCUACAGAUGUGGGUUAGUCCCUGAAGAGCAAUCUUCCUUUGCCAAAAAAGAAGCAUGAGGCCAAAGAGCUAGCCCAUUGCCAUGGCUACAUCGCAUGUUACAUACCAUGAAGAAGUCCUGGAUCAAUGUUGUGAUGGAGCUCUAAACAGUUCCUCCAGGAGAAAACAUUACCAGUUUCUGUAACUUCAUAUAAAACAUCUCAAAGAAGGGGACCCCAUUAGUGCAGGCUACCUAAGUUGCUGAAAAUAUCUUUAAAACUAACAGUGCAAAGGAUGAAAGCCAUUGAUGAAUUGGGGCUACAUCUAAAUGAAGAACAGACAAUGGAGAUGAGGCUUUGGAAGCAGUGAUUGCUCACAAUGGUGUGCCAUAGAAAAUGAUGGGAAGCAUUUCUGCCCAGAAAGCUUUGUGGAGGAUGAGGCUGUGGCAUCUGAGAUUUACAAAGAUGCACCGUGCAUCCAUGUCAAAAAAAUAAAUAAAUUAAAAAAGAAGAGAUUGGAGAGAAAGGUUCAAAAGCUAACAAAUGGAAGCACAUAAGACACAGUGAACCAAAAGCAUUGAGUUCCACAACUGUUUUGUACAGAUGGAUGAGAAAAGCUGUAUGGCAUGGAGAAUGGGACCAUCAAGGCAGAAGAGAAGAAAAAGAAGCAUGGUGACUGAAAUGCAAUAGCAUUGCUUACAAGCGAGAGUUUGGAGGGAAAGACCACCUAGUGGGGAGGAGGGUACAAGGCAAGACAGAUUAAAGCUUUGCAGUGGAAGAUUUUCAAGUUGGAUUUCUUUGACCAGGGUAAGAAGUAGAGAACCUUUGGGAUGAGCAGGGAACAGCUAAUUUCUUAGGCUCCCAUGCUGGGAUAGCACAGAAUAGGCUUUCAAGAUGGUGUCUCCAGGCCAGCCCGGUCUUUUUGCUUAUCAAUUACCUUCUUUGUAAGUAGCAUCAUUCAUAAACUGAAGCAUCUGGAUACAAAUGGGAUUUUGUUUUUCUCCCUCAAGUUGAAAAACUUGUCCAGGGACUGAAUUAUUUCCACCUGGUGAAAUUCCUGAAAAAGGGCUUCAUAAAAAUUGGGGAUCAUGAACAACCCAAUCUUCUCAAGCCAUCCACCAUCUUGAAAUUGUAGUAUCAUAAGUAAUGCCACGCAUUUAAAAUGAUGGCACUGUAGUUGGUUGGGGGAGUGUGGGGAGAAGAGAUAAAGGUUGCUGGAGCCACACUUUGGAAUUUGCAUACAAAUCACAGGGACCAGAAAGUCAUGGGCUGGGAAGUUGUCUUCACAUCAGAGGAUUUGAGUUGGGGGAGGGAAGGAGGGGAGGAAGACAUGGGCAAGAAACCCAACACCUCCAUAUGGAAAUCCUGCCAAGAAAUACUGCAUAUCCUAAAUAUUCCUUGAAUUUUCCAUGUUGAUUCAUGGGAUGGAAAUGGACCAGAUGAUUAUAUUUUCAUGGAAAAAAAAGAAAAAAAUGGGAACAACUGAGCAAAGGAAAUGUAAUUGUUAGUGUUUGACAGCUAUGUUAGGUUGGGUUUUUUUUUUUGUUUGUUUAUUUGUUUUUGGCAACAGCACGUCUUCUAGGUCUUAGGUCAUUGAUAAACCUAGUAUGCAUUGGAACCUGAGUGUUGGAAUUUCUGUCAUUUUCAUCAUUUUUAAGACAUGAGCCCAAGCCCCCAUGUAGAGGUUCUGGCUCUUGUUCGGAGGAUGAAAAUUUCUGGUACUAACAAAGGGAAGUAGACUUACAAUGAGUAAAUAUACAAAAGCCCCAAAUAAUUACAAUAGUCACAGCUUGGCAAUGAGUUUCCAGACUAUGAAAUUAGUUUUCUUGUGAAGAAUGGAGAUUUUACAAGGCUAGUACAAACAUAGGGUAAUUGGAAAAUCAAAUUGCUCUUCGUUUAUUGUAAGGUCUGGAAUAAUGGCGAUAACAUUUUAAAAAGCCUCCCUAUGUAUGAAUCACUAGUAUUUGAGUUAUCGUCUACUUCUUCUAUUUUAAUGAUUUAUUAUUAUUAUUAUUUUUUGUGAAACAGUACUGUUGCCAAGAAUGGUUCCCUUACAAGUGCUACUACAGCGGGACCUUCAAACUAUGACAUCCAAAUACCAGCUUACCCCCGAUACAAUAAGUUCUCCUCCCAAAUUCUGUACUUCUGCCUUGACCUUACUGCAGAUAUUAAGCUGGUGGCAAUACAAGGCAAUCCGUUGAAGGUAGGCUAAUAGAUCCUGUUUGCACGCAGAAUCAGGACACUGAAAAUUAAAAAGAGGGAUAUUUUCAAUUAUAUAGAACCUUUUAUAAUACUCAUCACAUCAAAUCACACAGAAGGACAUGAUUGAGUGUCUGUACCAUAUUAGCAGAAAACUGCCUGUUCAUCCCCUUUGGAUGGGAGUUAAUGCUUGGAAUCAUUCUUUCUGCUUCCAUAGAAUUUAGUGAAUUAAAGUAUGAAGAUAUUCCAGAAAGACCCUAUUGAUAUCAUCUGUAAAUAAUUAAUUAUACUCUUUGUAAGUUGCCUUCUGCACUGUAAAGACAGCUAAGUAAUCUCAGAGGCUAUUUUGCGGAGAACUCCAUUCAGCUUUCAUGAAGCAUGGGAGUCUAUUGACGCAUAACACCCAGUCAUUCUCCCCUGGAAGGAAAUCAUUUAUGGUAAUCUGCAUGCUGCAUUAGAGGAUAUGAUUUCAAGUUGCUGCUUUAAUAAGAAGAAGACGAAGCAAUUUAUUUCAUUUGCUUGUCUAAGCAGGGCAUCAUUCUUAUUAAGGCAUGCCUGUCUCCAUUUUGGACUCAUUGUGAAUCUCAAAAUUACAGCGACCUCUUUCAAGGCCCUUAAAAGGAAGAGGCUUGGAGAUAGUUCAUAACCAAUACAAGUGGAAAUGUCCCUGGAACAAUUCAUUCAGAGUCAAUUGAAAUGAACUGUGGAUAGGAAGACACAAUUAUUUACCUUGCCCAUUACAUGACCAGCCAAGAGAAGAGACUCAGGCUUCUGAAUGGUGAAAGGAGUGCUCUGGACUCCAAUGAUCAUUCCCAGGAUUCAACAAAGUGUGCCCUUCCUAGUCAUCUGCCUCCUAAUUCUCCAAGAACCCUCAUGUGAAUGGCUGCAUAAGGGAAUUCAUUUGUGAUUGGACUUCCUAGCCAGAGGCUUCAGAGAUCUGAUAUCUUGCAAAUGAAGUGUUUGAGAGGAAUGGAAUAUUGGCGUUUGUUUCCCUAACACAAUCAGUUAGCAUCUUCAAUGUAUAGUGUUUAUUCAAGUGUUUAUUCAUGUAUAUAGUGUAUCUGAGGUCACUUAGAGUAGCCUUUGGCAAAUGAUUAUUUUGUAAGAAUGUGGGACACAAAGAAACACACAUUAAAUUCUAGGAACAUGUUUAGUAAGCCUCGAGGAGUUCAUCAGCUUCCAUCUGUACAAUUCAGACACACAAGGUGGACACAAACAUUUCAUAUUUUUUUCUUUUGAUGAAGGGGAAAAAAAAACAAAGGGGGAUUGGAGGAGGUCACUGAGUUUAACCUACUCUCUGCAUGGCUGUUACCAACAUGCCUUCUUCUAUGUUACUGCAUCUAUCAAGGAAGAAUCCCAGGGAGACCAUUUCUCCUUCCUGCAACUAUUUAAUACUGUAAUAUUUAUCCGACUCCUGAGACCCAUGUACUGAAAAGAAUUAACUUUAAAAUGAUAUCUCUCCAGAGAGCUGACAAAGCUUUCAAUACAAAUACCUUGGAGCAAAUUAAACUGGAAGGCCUAUCUCCUUGGAACAGUAAUUAAAAAUGCAACAGUCCAUAAAAAGUUUAUAUUGCAUGCAUAUCUUGAAACUUUGAGAAAACAUUUUCCUGCUAUAGAAAGGCAUCUGUUGAUGGCUUCCCCAGCUUUGUUCAUUUUCAGCUGUUCAGCUGAACCUCAUCCAAAGGAAUUUAAAAUGCAAAAAAGCCUGUCUUCCGGAGCGGAACAUCUCUACAGCCACUCAAAUCCCCACAAUGCUUUAAGAAGGUCCUUAUCCAAGAAUAACAGAAAUAACAA